AUUGAACGCUGGCGGCAUGCCUUACACAUGCCAGUCGAACGGCAGCACGGGUGCUUGCACCUGGUGGCGAGUGGCGAACGGGUGAGUAAUACAUCGGAACCUGUCCUGUAGUUGGGGAUAGCCCUGCGAAAGCCGGAUUAAUACCGCAUACGAUCUUCGGAUGAAAUCGUGGGACCUUCGGACCUCGCGCUAUAGGGUUGGCCGAUGCCUGAUUAGCUAGUUGGUGGGGUAAAGGCCUACCAAGGCGACGAUCAGUAGCUGGUCUGAGAGGACGACCAGCCACAUUGGGACUGAGACACGGCCAAGACGCCUAAGGGAGGCAGCAGUGGGGAAUGGGGGACAAUGGGCGAAAGCCUGAUCCAGCAAUGCCGCGUGUGUGAAGAAGGCCUUCGGGUUGUAAAGCACUUUUGUGCGGAAAGAAAUCCUUGGGCCUAAUACGGUCGGGGGAUGACGGUACCGGAAGAAUAAGCACCGGCUAACUACGUG
rnacentral:rRNA from 1 species